UACGAAGGGGGCUAGCGUUGUUCGGAAUUACUGGGCGUAAAGCGCGCGUAGGUGGUUUGUUAAGUUGGAUGUGAAAGCCCGGGGCUCAACCCCGGGAGGCGGGUGGAUACUGUCAAGCUCGAGUCCGGAAGAGGAGUGUGGAAUUCCUGGUGUAGCGGUGAAAUGCGCAGAUAUCAGGAGGAACACCAAUGGCGAAGGCAGCACUCUGGGACGUGACUGACGCUGAGACGCGAAAGCGUGGGGAGCAAACAGG
rnacentral:rRNA from 1 species